rnacentral:rRNA from 1 species
UGGGGAAUAUUGGACAAUGGGCGCAAGCCUGAUCCAGCCAUACCGCGUGGGUGAAGAAGGCCUUCGGGUUGUAAAGCCCUUUGUUGGGAAAGAAAUCCAGCUGGCUAAUACCCGGUUGGGAUGACGGUACCCAAAGAAUAAGCACCGGCUAACUUCGUGCCAGCAGCCGCGGUAAUACGAAGGGUGCAAGCGUUACUCGGAAUUACUGGGCGUAAAGCGUGCGUAGGUGGUCGUUUAAGUCCGUUGUGAAAGCCCUGGGCUCAACCUGGGAACUGCAGUGGAUACUGGACGACUAGAGUGUGGUAGAGGGUAGCGGAAUUCCUGGUGUAGCAGUGAAAUGCGUAGAGAUCAGGAGGAACAUCCAUGGCGAAGGCAGCUACCUGGACCAACACUGACACUGAGGCACGAAAGCGUGGGGAGCAAACAGGAUUAGAUACCCUCGUAGUCCCUGAGCGGGCUGGCAAGGCGCAU